GACGAACCGUGCAAACGUUGUUCGGAAUCACUGGGCUUAAAGGGCGCGUAGGCGGGCAAGCAAGUCGAAGGUGAAAUCCCACGGCUCAACCGUGGAAGUGCCCCCGAUACUGCUUGUCUUGAGGGAGAUAGGGGCGUGCGGAACUUCCGGUGGAGCGGUGAAAUGCGUAGAUAUCGGAAGGAACACCGGUGGCGAAAGCGGCGCGCUGGAUCUCUUCUGACGCUGAGGCGCGAAAGCCGGGGGAGCAAACGGG
rnacentral:rRNA from 1 species